GGCAGCGCCGAGCGAGGGCCUGGCUCCCGGGAGGAGGAUGCGCCCGCGGCGAGGGCCCGGAGCGCCGACGCCGGGCCUCGGGCUCCCGAGAAGUAGACGGUGUGGGCGUGGUUAAGGAGCGCGUGAAGCUCGGGGAGGGCCGGGAGGCGGCGGCACCUGCAGCCCGGAGCCAGCCUGGAAGCUCCCCCGCUCCCAGGACUCGCAAGGGGCGGCGGAGCCUCGCGUCCUGACCCCACGCUCUGGGGAGCGCCUCCAGCUCCCAGCUCUGGGCCUCUCCUUGCGUCCGCGGCUCCCGGGGUCUCCCGGCUGGAUCCCGCCCCCUGCUCUCCCCGCCCACGCUGGAGGAGGGGGCUAAGCCCGACCCCGGGAGCUCCUCGGGAAAGAGGAGCAAAGUGGGAGACGGAAUCCCACCCUGCCAGCUGCGCCUGGGCGGUUGGGAAACCAUGUGGACGCCAGGAUGCGCUUGCCGGUAGACGUGGCGUGAACGAUUGGCUCCCUAGGUUCUUGCUCUUGCUGCCAGGAUGCAGGCAGCGCUCGGACCGACUACCUCCUCCCCAGUCUGCCCAGAGCCUGGAGUUCCCCCCCACCCCCACCGCUUUUGAUCACCCCUCUCCGCCUAUCCUGGGGGACUGGUGAGGAGCUCAGCGGUCCGGACGCCCAGGCGCCCGCGACGGAGGCGGAGAAGCCAGCGCUGGAGAAGCUGUAAGGAAACGAGGAACACGACCUCUAUCUCGUGAAGGUCAUUUAUGUGCAAGCUGAGGGUUUAAGGCGUUGGUGGUGGGAUGGGCUGAAGCCCUCCAGGACCCGGGAGGCGGCUAUUGAGCGCCACCAUCUGGGCUGAACUCGAGCAGAGAAGGCUCCACCCACCCUGUAGCUUUUCAGAUCCUUCCUUGGGGGACCCGACCCCUCUGCUUUUGGCAGCGAAAGUAGCUGGAGAACCUUUGAAAACGAAUCCAGAAAGUACAUUUGACCUGACUGCACAGAGAAGGUGAUCUCCUCCAUGGAGAAGACUAAGAUUGCUUCAGACAAAUCAGGGCCAAACCCCAUCCUCAGCAAAGAGAACAAGAAGGAAGCAAAGAGCACAGGUGCUGCAGCCAUCUUGACAUAAUGAAGAGAGAGAUCUCAACACUUUGUUAAGAGUUUUCAGUUGUGGGACCCCUGCAUGGCUCAGUGGUUGAGCAUCUGCCUUCUGCUCAGGUCGUGACCCCCAGGUCCUGGGAUAGAGUCCUGCAUCAGGCUCCCUGUGGGGACCUUGAUUCUUCCUCUGCCUAUGUCUCUGCCC